UGCCCGGCGGUGGUCACUCACUCGCUGCGACAACCAGGAGGAAGGGAGAUGUCUGGUCGAACGGGGACUUGCAAGGCGCAUGAUCCGAUGAAAUCUGUUGGAGGGUCAUGAGUCUAAGCCGUAAGCCUACUAUGAUGCAUUGCUCUCUUAAAAACUGUUCCUCGGCUCUCUUCGCUCUUUUUCUGGUUUCUCUUAACCAUGGCCGGGUAAUCUCCCUGAUCGAGUCAGUCGGGCAGUGUCUUCCCCUGCUUGACUGGCUGCAGUUUGAACCGGACGGUCUGUUAAAAUAAGAAUUUAAAUCUAGAACAACGCCUCCUUUGAGUGACCCGGACAAUCCUGAAUCCUUAAGGGUUGCCAUUCCAUCGAGGCUUAAACGAGGAUGACGCGCAGGUGUUGCCCAUUGAUGGGUUUUGGUGACAAAGAGAAUUAAGAGAACGAAAAGCUGAACCAAAUAAAAAAAAAUGUUAAAAAAGCCAACGAUCCUUUAUAGAUCCGAGCCAAUUCGUUUCCGUCUACAUUCGGUGUGAAGAGCAAAACCCAGAUUUAAACACAUUUUACUGCUUAGCAACGAAAACAAAGCGAGUGUCAAAACAUUCUUUUACUUGCGCAUCAUACUUUAUUGUGGCAGAAACGCGUUGGUCAUGUAACAGGGUGAAUUUUUUUCACAUUUUGUUCAUCAGCAUCAAACGACACGCGAUAGGUUCAGUUGGUCAUCAACUAUUCAAGAUGGUA